CCGUAAUGAGGUUAUUUAGUCUAAAGGCUAGAGAGAAGUGAGAAAGUCAAUAGUAAACAAAGAAAACAAAAUAGAACUUUUUUAAAUAAAAUUCUAAUAUUGUCUAGCAUCGUAGAGGGGCAGAGCACUUUAGUUUACCUUUUCUAAUGUUUUUCUGUUUUUUAAUUAUUAGAUAUUUUAUUAUGGUUGUACAUUCGUAUUUACAAUCUCAAUAAAGAGGAAAAUGCGUCAGAACGUGUUUCUAGAAAUUUAAAUAAAUUGUUUAACUAUUAACAUACAUUUGGAGUAAAAAUUCAAAACAAGUUUCGUCAGCUUAAGCCUGAUUCUUUACCUUUAUCGCCGUCUUAGCUGGACAAUAAGUAAAUAAAGCAGGCGGCAAUCGAAGCCAAGAUCCACGGUUCUGGUUACUGCGGGAAAACUUGAAAUUCCCAAAUGCAAGUAUGGACGUAAAAUACUUUGUGUUUAUAAAUUGUGUUGACGCCAUGUGUUGGAUUCAAAUACAGAACUAGCUUAAUUAACGCUUCCUAAAGUAAUUGCAAACAAAUGAUUGAACCGAGUCUGUCGCUUAUCAGUCGGCCAUAUGUUAUAUGAACGAAUGUGUAGCUAGUGCAAUGGGCAUGCAUUUUCCGGAUUGGAACCUGCUUCUAUCUACAUAGUCAUGUAUCUAUAAUACAACUAUGUAUGUAGAUAAUAUUGUAUAGUAGAAUUGAUGUUGGUGUUUAUGUGAAUAUUUCAAAUAUUUAUUGAAUAAAGCAUAUACUAUGUGUUGAAAGAAACUACGCAGCGUGUUCAGUGUAUACAAAUUUAUUAAAGGCGCUGAAAUGCUAAAAUAAAUGAAAAUCAAAUAUCAAACUUAAUUUUAGGAAUACAUAUACGAACUUAAUUAUUGUAAUUCGGCACUGCCUACGUGCAAAUUCCAUAAGAGUAUGAGAUUGCUUGCUCUCAGAGAAGGAAAUAUGACGAA